UAUGAAGGGUGCAAGCGUUACUCGGAAUUACUGGGCGUAAAGCGUGUGCAGGUGGUUUGUUAAGUCUGCUGUGAAAUCCCCGGGCUCAACCUGGGAAUGGCAGUGGAUACUGGCAAGCUGGAGUGCGGUAGAGGGUAGUGGAAUUCCCGGUGUAGCGGUGAAAUGCGUAGAGAUCGGGAGGAACACCAGUGGCGAAGGCGACUUCCUGGCCUGUUCUUGACGCUGAGGCGCGAAAGCUAGGGUAGCAAACGGG
rnacentral:rRNA from 1 species